AACUUACAUAGUCUUUUGUUUCUUCUUUUUUUUUUAAAAGAUUUAUUUUAUUUAUUAUAUGUAAGUACACUGUAGCUGUCUUUAGACACUCCAGAAGAGGGAGUCAGAUCUCGUUACGGAUGGUUGUGAGCCACCAUGUGGUUGCUGAGAUUUGAACUCUGGACCUUCGGAAGAGCAGUCGGGUGCUCUUACCCACUGAGCCAUCUCACCAGCCCUGUUUCUUCUUAUAUACAUAAAUACAUGCAUACAUACAUACAUAUAUGUGUAUGUAUAUAUACAUAUAUACCCAUAUUAUGUAUAUAAAUAUGCAUAUGUACAUAUAUAUGUGUGUAAAUAUAUAUUUAUAUGAUUUAUUAUAUAUUACAUACUGAAUAUUUUUAUAUACAUAGUAUAUAUACACAUAUAUACACAUAUAUAUAUGAAGUAGUAAGAAAUAUACAGGGAACACAAGAGCCACAUAUAUGCAUACAUAUAUAAUGCAUAUAUAUUAUACAUCAUACUAGGGUAUCUUUUGAAAAUUUAUUUAUUUAUGUGUAUGGUGCUUUCCUUGCAUGCAUGUAUAAAUACUGCAUGCAUGCCUUGUGCCUGCUGAGUCCAGGAAGGGUGUCAGAUCCUCUGGGACUGGAUCGACAAUGCUAAGCUCUCAUGUGCAUGCUGGGAACUGAACUUGGGUCCAUCCCUCCAGUUCUGUUGCAUGGUCACUGUCACUGUCACUGUCACUCUCCAGCUUCACUGAGGGCAGCUUCUGCUGGAGCCUCAGGAGUGGGGGGAAGGGGGGAGCACCGCUGUGGGCUGAAGGAGACGCAGGUGUUUUAUUUCCUUCAGUAGGUAGUGGCAGCAAUGCACUGGAAUAUGGAGGAGUUAUCAAAACCCAGACAUUUCCGGGAAAAGUAGAUUUCCUAGGGUGUGUACAGAGUCCUGGAGAAGUCUUUGGGGAGAAUUUCAAGAGGAGCCUCCCUACUCUGCUGACAUACCUACCCCUAGCUAAGAGCUCACCAACACUGUCCCUGCAGCAGGCCUAUUGGAUGGAGAGGGAAAAUAAGUAAGGGAACAUGUCUGAGCCCAGGGGUCAAGCCAGUGGUGUCGGGGGAAUAGAGAGUAUGCCCUAGAGGUGAAACUGAAUAGGGCAGGGGCAGCCUUUGCUGCAGCUUGCCACAGCUGCAGCCUUGACAGCAUCGGCAUGGUGCCUGAUGAGGGAGAUUCCAAAGUGUCCCAUGCAGGGGCUAAGGCCUUGCAUAGCAGGAAAAGGCCAAUGGAUUUAGUUUAGCAUCAUGGCCAGAGUAUUGAGAGGCUCACAGGCCUGUGUGUACCCUGCCCUCCCUGCUGGGCCGCCCGGGUCCUGGGACAGCACAGUAACCUCUGUGGGUGAUGGAUCGCAGUGUCUGCCCUGGUGCAGCAGACGUGGGGCUGCACUUGGCCUCAAUCGCUCCCUAGGGACCACCCCCAAUCGAUGGCAUUCUGUGCUCAGCCCCAGCAGCCUGUGAUAAAUGGUCUAGAAUUGAUUUCUACUUAAUUGACAAUUUGGUGAACCUGUUUGCAGAAUCCCAGGUUGUACAGGAAGGGGAAUGUCCCUGGCCAGGGUGACAGCCAGGGGGCAGCAGAGGCUAUCCAGUGAUGAUGUCAAGGGACUCACAUUGUGUCAAGCUUGAGACCCCUCUGGAAGCCCGGCAGUGUCACCACCCAGAUCUGGGACACCCCCUAGGGAAGUGGAUCCUGGAUACGACUGCACUUAAGAAGGUGAGGCGGGCAAACACUCAGCUCUGUCACCAGGACACUGGUUUCCUUCUGAGCAGGUCUCAUUACAAAGCCUGCCUGUCCUUUGCUCAGCUGAGGCAGCCCCUGGUGCUAACUCCAUCUGCCACCCAGCAGUGGGCCUCACACUCCGUUUUCCCCAUGGUGGCUGAAGGAUGUGGCUAACCAGACUAGGUUACUCUCUUUUAGGAAAAAGCUUUCUUCUCCCGCACCUCCUCUGAGUAUUACCAGUCUGAGUCACCAUCCCCUUCUUCCCCACCAUAGUCUCUUGCCAGCCUUAGCACGUGUACUUCCUGGCUGAAACAGACUCUCUGAGCAGACCUGCACACGGGGUAGCCCUAUCCUUCUAGUUUCUAGGGAGGGUAAGGCAGGAGGAUUGCUCGAGCUCAAGAGUUUGAAGGUCGCUUGGUUGGCACAUCAAGUGACUUUUAAAAAGGUUUAUUUACUUUUAUGUGCAUUGAUGGUUUGCCUACAUGUAUGCCUUUCUGUCUGUGUGAGGGUCCCAGAUCCUAUGGAACUGGAUUUCAGACAGUGUGAGCUGCCAUGUAGGUGAUGAGAACCAAUCUCUGAGCCAGCUCUCCAGCUCCAAGUGCCUGACUCAUAAGAAAUCAAGUGUGGCAAUGCAAGCCUAUAAUCCCAACACUUGGUAGGUAGAGACAGGAGCUCAAGGCCAGCCUGGACUACAUGAGACCCUUUCUAAAAGG
rnacentral:lncRNA from 1 species